rnacentral:rRNA from 1 species
AACAGGAUUAGAUACCCUGGUAGUCCACGCCGUAAACGAUGAUUACUCGUUGUUGGCGAUAUAUUGUCAGCGACUGAGCGAAAGCAUUAAGUAAUCCACCUGGGGAGUACGUUGGCAACAAUGAAACUCAAAGGAAUUGACGGGGGCCCGCACAAGCGGAGGAACAUGUGGUUUAAUUCGAUGAUACGCGAGGAACCUUACCUGGGCUUAAAUGUAGCAUGACCGUACCCGAAAGGGUAUUUCUCUUCGGAGCAGGUUACAAGGUGCUGCAUGGCUGUCGUCAGCUCGUGCCGUGAGGUGUCGGGUUAAGUCCCAUAACGAGCGCAACCCCUAUCGUUAGUUGCCAGCGGGUAAUGCCGGGAACUCUAGCGAGACUGCCACCGUAAGGUGAGAGGAAGGUGGGGAUGACGUCAAGUCAGCACGGCCCUUAUGUCCAGGGCUACACACGUGUUACAAUGGCCAGUACAAAGGGCAGCUACCUGGUGACAGGAUGCAAAUCUCUAAAACUGGUCUCAGUUCGGAUCGAAGUCUGCAACUCGACUUCGUGAAGUUGGAUUCGCUAGUAAUCGUAUAUCAGCAACGAUACGGUGAAUACGUUCCCGGGCCUUGUACACACCGCCCGUCAAGCCAUGGAAGCCGGGGGUACCUGAAGUCCGUAACCGCAAGGA